rnacentral:rRNA from 1 species
AUUGAACGCUGGCGGCAGGCCUAACACAUGCAAGUCGAACGAGUGGCGGACGGGUGAGUCAUGUCUGGAAACCUGCCUGUUGGAGGGGGAUAACUACUGGAAACGGUAGCUAAUACCGCAUACCAUCGGAUGUGCCCAGAUGGGAUUAGCUAGUAGGUGGGGUAAAGGCUCACCUGGGCGACGAUCCCUAGCUGGGCUGAGAGGAUGACCAGCCACCCUGGAACUGAGCCACGGUCCAGACUCCUACGGGAGGCAGCAGUGGGGAAUAUUGCACAAUGGGCGAAAGCCGGAUGCAGCCACGCCGCGUGGAUGAAGAAGGCCUUUGGGUUGUAAAGUACUUUCAGCGGGGAGGCGUUACCCUCCGAGGAAGCACCGGCUAACUCCGUGCCAGCAGCCGCGGUAAUUC